rnacentral:tRNA from 1 species
UGUCAACUGAGAUAAGGAUGGUAAAGCAUCUGCUUGCAAUGCAGGAGACCCGGGUUCAACUCCUGGGUUGGGAA